rnacentral:rRNA from 1 species
UACGGAGGGUGCAAGCGUUAUCCGGAUUCACUGGGUUUAAAGGGUGCGUAGGUGGGUUGGUAAGUCAGUGGUGAAAUCUCCAGGCUUAACUUGGAAACUGCCAUUGAUACUAUCAAUCUUGAAUACCGUGGAGGUCAGCGGAAUAUGUCAUGUAGCGGUGAAAUGCUUAGAUAUGGCAUAGAACACCAAUUGCGAAGGCAGCUGGCUACACGAAUAUUGACACUGAUGCACGAAAGCGUGGGGAUCAAACAGG